rnacentral:lncRNA from 1 species
CUAGGAAAAAUUGUUUUGGUCUCUGCCCCCUACCUAAGAGUUGGUGAACGCAAGGGAGCCCGGCAAAGCAAGCAGACUGCGGCUGACCUCCAGCCCCUUAAACGUCUUGCUGGCGAGCUCCUCCAGCGCGCACAGCGGCGAGGUCUGCGAGAGCAGCGCGCGGCCCGCCAGGGGCAAGCCGCCCUGCGCGUGCUUGUCCGCGGCGGCCAGCAGGUGCGCCGCCCCGCACAGCGAGUAACUUCUCCGCACAGACGGCUUGUUGAGGAUGUCCUCGAUGCUGAACGGCGUCAGUGGCUUGUUGGAGUUGGCAGGCGGAGGCAGGUGGUCCAGCGGGCUGCGCCGCCGCUCCUCCCCCGGCGCCGCCUUGCCGUCCUCCUUGGAAGUCAUCUCGGCCUUGUUCGGGGUCCCGGCCGGGGCGGCU